GCUCCCUAGGGAGGAGCUUCCCUGCAAGUCCAGCAUAAAAGCUUAGCUCUCAGCUGCCUGCACUGACCAGGACUGCUCCCUCUCACAAUGAGGUGCCCUGCUCAGCUCCUGGGGCUGCUCAUGCUCUGGAUCCCAGGAUCCAGUGGAGAUGUUAUGCUGACCCAGACUCCACUCUCCCUGCCUGUCACCCUGGGAGAGCCGGCCUCCAUCUCCUGCAGGUCUAGUCAGAGCCUCCUGCAUAGCAAUGGAAACACAUAUUUGCACUGGUUCCUGCAGAAGCCAGGCCAGUCUCCACAGCUCCUGAUCUAUUUGGUUUCCAACCGAGCAUCUGGGGUCCCAGACAGGUUCCGUGGCAGUGGGUCAGGCACGGAUUAUACCCUGACCAUCAGCAGGGUGGAGGCUGAGGAUGUGGGGGUUUAUUACUGCUUUCAAGAGACACAUGCUCCUCCCACAGUGAUACAGCCCCGAACAAAAACCUCCCUGCUUGAGGUGGCCCAGCUGUCACAUGUAGUUUGUUUGGGGAGCAGCACAACAGCUUUCAGAGUGACUGUCAGAGCAAGAAGCUUUAGAAGUCAUAGUAAUUUACAGCUGAGCUCUGUGUUGCAUGAGUGCCUCUGCCACCCUUCAGGAACACUGGGGCAAAGGUCAUGCCAUGACACAGGCAGCCAGGGAAUAAAUGUGCCUCUUUAA